UACGUAGGGUGCGAGCGUUGUCCGGAAUUAUUGGGCGUAAAGGGCGCGUAGGCGGCAUGUUAAGUCGGCUGUGAAAUCCUGCGGCUUAACCGCAGGGCUGCCUUCUAAACUGUCAGGCUCGAGCACAGUAGAGGCAGGUGGAAUUCCCGGUGUAGCGGUGGAAUGCGUAGAUAUCGAGAGGAACACCGGUGGCGAAGGCGGCUAUCUGGACGAUGACUGACGCUGAGACGCGAAAGCGUGGGGAGCAAACAGG
rnacentral:rRNA from 1 species